CGCCCCACUGCCUUAAUCACUCUGGUCAGCUCUUUAUAAAAUUGCAUAUCACAGCUUUGUGAAGUGAAACACGUUGGGCCAUCUUAAUAACUUUGACACCCACGAAUCAGCCAUUUCAUGAUGUUUGAACCAACGUUGAUAAGUUUGACCCGAACUUAUCAAGUCAUCUUCCAGUUUCUGGUGAAACAACACUUCCAAAAGAC
rnacentral:lncRNA from 1 species